rnacentral:rRNA from 1 species
GACGAACGCUGGCGGCGUGCUUAACACAUGCAAGUCGAACGGAAAGGCCCUGCUUGCAGGGUACUCGAGUGGCGAACGGGUGAGUAACACGUGGGUGAUCUGCCCUGCACUUCGGGAUAAGCCUGGGAAACUGGGUCUAAUACCGGAUAGGAGCCAUUUUUAGUGUGAUGGUUGGAAAGUUUUUUCGGUGUAGGAUGAGCUCGCGGCCUAUCAGCUUGUUGGUGGGGUAAUGGCCUACCAAGGCGGCGACGGGUAGCCGGCCUGUGAGGGUGGCCGGCCACACUGGGACUGAGGUGCGGCCCAGAUUCCUAAGGGAGGGAGAAGGGGGGAAGAUUGACCAAGGGGCGCCAGCCUGAUGAAGCGAGGCCGCGGGGGGGAUGACGGUCUUAGGGUUGUAAAACCCUUUCGCAAGGGACGAAGCUUUUUGUGACGGUACCUAGAUAAGAAGCACCGGCUAACUACGUG